AGAUUGAACGCUAGCGGGAUGCUUUACACACGCAAGUCGAACGGCAGCGCGGACUUCGGUCUGGCGGCGAGUGGCGAACGGGUGAGUAAUAUAUCGGAACGUGCCCAGUAGCGGGGGAUAACUACGCGAAAGCGUGGCUAAUACCGCAUACGCCCUACGGGGGAAAGGGGGGGAUUCUUCGGAACCUCUCACUAUUGGAGCGGCCGAUAUCAGAUUAGCUAGUUGGUGAGGUAAAGGCUCACCAAGGCGACGAUCUGUAGCUGGUUUGAGAGGAUGAUCAGCCACACUGGGACUGAGACGCGGCCCAGACUCCUACGGGAGCAGCAGUAGGGAAUAUUGGACAAGUGGGACGAAAGCCUGAUCCAGCAAU
rnacentral:rRNA from 1 species